GGUAAUAGGGCUCCAUAUUGUACUGCUUUGUGUCCUCUGCUUUCUUCCUUUCUUCAUGCCUCUGUUUCUCUAUUUUAGGGUAAAAGCUUUGUGAUCGAAGAGAAAUACUUGCAGCAUGCCUAUCGUUUCCUCUCAACGCUACGAUCCUGCUUGCUGCUUUCCUAUGAUGGACUGUACAGUUAUUUCACCUCCAUAUCAGAAACGCUGCCUUCCUCACUCAAGCUGGAGCUUGAAAAACUUGAUAUGAAAGCCCGGCUCAGUGAGUUAUCUGACAAAGUGACGGAAAUAGAAGACGCCAAUGAUCUGCCAGAAGCAAUAAAUGGCAGCCUAAUACAACUGUCAUCUCAACUUCUCAAUCUAUGGGGAAUAUUUCUUCAAUCCUCCUUGGAGAGUAAAGCAGAAAAGCAGCAAAUAAAGGAAGAAAAGUUCAAGAAGUUGUUCUUUUCUACUGACCAUCCCCGAGAAGAAGCUAUUUUAUAUGAUGAGAAGAUCGCUCAAAGGCAUAAAGAGAUUUAUGAAGAAGUAAAAAAAUCUCCAAAAGUCAGUUGUUCUCUCGAGUGCCUGGACACGGACAUUGUAUCGAAAUCUGCUCCAGUGAUCUUUGAAGACCGGUACUUAGAGCCUGACGCAAUUGAUUGUUCAGAAGAUGUUAAAUCUUCCCCUGUUGCCUGUACUAAAGAUCCGCGCAAGAAACUGAAGUCAUUGCGUACUAUCAUGGCAACAGAUGGAAAUCUUGAUUUAAGUGCCUCCUUUCAUGACAUGCCAUAUACUCUGAGGAAGGGAUUGUUUGAGGCUAAAAAAGAACUGAGAGAAUGGAUAAGUCGGUUCUUUUCCAACAACCGUUCCAAGAAGUUUACUCUGAGCAUGGAGCUAGUCAACGACUCAGAUGAAGGAAUAUCUGUGCAAAUCAGGAUGAGACCUUCUUAUUGUAAUUACCUUUUUACUAUAUCUUCUCCUGUGGGAAAUAUAAAUAUAACAUACAUUUUACCUUAACUUGAACAAUAACCAUGGACUUAUUUCUACCCUAGGUACAACAGAUGAGCAAGUAAUAACUACCUUUGUAUAUGGAUGUCACGGUGGAAGAACUGCUGUCAUCGGACAUCUAGGAAACAAGGAUGAAACUCUGGCUGAAUAUGAUUCUUUGGCAAAUCGUCUAUUGAGCCAAAUUGCACAACUCAUAGAAUCGAACAGUUUGACAAUAUCCGGGAUCAGAUUAUUAUCCAACGAAAAGAAACUCCUUUGGGAGCAACUUGUACCUAAACGAAAAGUCAGAGAAAAUCAGAGCAGUUCUACUGGUAAGAUAAACAUUGAUUUUUCCAUUACAUUAUGAAUGAAGGAUGGGCAUUACUUUGAUUA